GAGUUUGAUCGUGGCUCAGAUUGAACGCUAGCGGGAUGCCUUACACAUGCAAGUCGAACGGCAGCACGGACUUCGGUCUGGUGGCGAGUGGCGAACGGGUGAGUAAUGUAUCGGAACGUGCCUAGUAGCGGGGGGAUAACUACGCGAAAGCGUAGCUAAUACCGCAUACGCCCUACGGGGAAAGGCAGGGGAGUCGCAAGACCUUGCACUAUUAGAGCGGCCGAUAUCGGAUUAGCUAGUUGGUGGGGUAACGGCUCACCAAGGCGACGAUCCGUAGCUGGUUUGAGAGGACGACCAGCCACACUGGGACUGAGACACGGCCCAGACUCCUACGGGAGGCAGCAGUGGGGAAUUUUGGACAAUGGGGGAAACCCGUGAUCCAGCCAUCCCGCGUGUGCGAUG
rnacentral:rRNA from 1 species